rnacentral:other from 1 species
UAUUUUCUGGGAUAUUCGUAGGCUUCUGUUUUGAACCUACAUUCUAACUAAGGGAGUUCAAUAAGGGACAGUGGAUAUUAGGCCCAUAGUGAGUCCUAUACAGGCAGGGGAAAAUAGAAGCAUCCAUGAGAGCACCCACCUAUCGAGAGAUAGGUGUCAAAAUUGAAGUAGCGGUAUCUUGGAUAUUAA